CACUAUGAAGCUAAAUUGGAAAAGCGUUAGCCUUUUAAGCUAAAGAUUGGUGGCCCCAAACCACCCCUAGUGA
rnacentral:tRNA from 1 species